rnacentral:rRNA from 1 species
AAUCAACGCUGGCGGCGUGCCUCAGACAUGCAAGUCGAACGCGAAAGUCCCCUUCGGGGGACAAGUAGAGUGGCGCACGGGUGAGUAACACGUAGGUAAUCUACCUUCGGAUGGGGAAUAACAACCGGAAACGGUUGCUAAUACCGCAUAAUGCAGCGGCACCUAAUGGUGACAGUUGUUAAAGCGGGGGAUCGAAAGACCUCGCGUCUGAAGAGGAGCCUGCGGCGGAUUAGCUAGUGGUAAGGUAAUGGCUUACCAAGGCGACGAUCCGUAGCCGGCCUGAGAGGGCGGUCGGCCACACUGACACUGACAUACGGGUCAGACUCCUACGGGAGGCAGCAGUCGGGGAAUAUUGGACAAUGGGCGCAAGCCUGAUCCAGCCACGCCGCGUGAGUGACGAAGGUCUUCGGAUUGUAAAACUCUUUUGGCGGGGACGAUAAUGACGGUACCCGCAGAAUAAGCCCCGGCUAACUUCGUGCCAGCCGCCGCCGUAAU